rnacentral:rRNA from 1 species
AUGGCAGCGGGCGGAGCUAUUACAAACAAGACACUUGAUGAUGCUUUUCUGCUGAUUGAGAGCAUAGCUUUCCACCAACUUCAGUGGUACAAUGAUAAGCCCACCUCUGAUUCAUUGGUUUGCUUGCAACAAAUCACUACACCUCAGCCGCCAAUUCUUACACAAAAUCCUGAACCUCUAUCUCAGUGUCACAAGAUUGAGCUUGCAUGGAUUAUCUUUGACGAUGAUGACACCAUUCUAGUUGACACACGCGCUACAGAUCACAUGGAUACUAGUGUUGGAGAUUCAGUUUUGCAUUGUGAUGAUUCUUCCAUGGAUGAGCCGGAGCUGCAGUUAGUUGCUUUUGAUAUUGAGGAGUCACCUUUAGUUCAUAUUGAGCAUGUGCUGGUAGAGCCAGAUAUGGAGAAGUUCUCCUUUGAUGAUGUCAGCUGCAUUGAUUCCUCAACACUUGAGCCUGAGAUGGAGAGCUUCAUGGUUGAUUAUGAUGAGGUGGAUUCAGAUGUCAAGGAGCCAAGCUCUACUAUUUCACUUGUUGACAUGAGUCCAGUGGAAAUUUCUACAAGCACACCUCACUUGGUAUCUUCAAUUGAGGUAGUCCUGAAGGUUCUUCCCAAGUAUCUCAGGUUGAUGCUUGUGUACCAUUUACUGCGAGUUGACCGAGUUCGAGAUGACAUUCCCUGGGAUCCUGGUGGAUUCACGACAUGGUGA